CUCCUUAUGUGGCAGGCAGAUACCAUGAUCAAGAAGGUGGCUCUACCAGGGUGAAGCUUACCAGUUACACCUGGGUGUGCCAAACCCUGGCCACUUCCCUAAAUACAAAACAACCGACUGCAUCGUUUGUGGUACUGGGGACCUGUGUUCCUGCUUUCCUCUC